rnacentral:rRNA from 1 species
AGUAAAUUGGUUAAGUUAGAAAGGGCGCACGGUGGAUGCCUUGGCACUAGGAGCCGAAGAAGGACGGGACUAACACCGAUAUGCUUUGGGGAGCUGUAAGUAAG